CCUACGGGAGGCAUCAGUGAGGAAUCUUGGUCAAUGGGCGCGAGUCUGAACCAGCAAAGUAGCGUGAAGGAUGACUGCCCUACGGGUUGUAAACUUCGUUUAUAAAGGAAUACAGUGAGGCACGUGUGCCUUUUUGUAUGUACUUUAUGAAUAAGGAUCGGCUAACUCCGUGCCAGCAGCCGAGGUAAUACGGAGGAUCCGAGCGUGAUCCGGAUUUAUUGGGUUUAAAGGGAGCGUAGAUGGGUUGUUAAGUCAGUUGUGAAAGUUUGCGGCUCAACCGUAAAAUUGCAAUUGAUACUGGCAGUCUUGAGUACAGUUGAGGUAGGCGGAAUUCGUGGUGUAGCGGUGAAAUGCUUAGAUAUCACGAAGAACCCCGAUUGCGAAGGCAGCUUACUAAACUGUGACUGACAUUGAUGCUCGAAAGUGUGGGUAUCAAACAGGAUUAGAUACCCUAGUAGUC
rnacentral:rRNA from 1 species